rnacentral:rRNA from 1 species
GGCUGGGAAAUAGGCAAAUCCGUUUCCCAUAAGGCUGAGCUGUGAUGGCGAGCGAAAUAUAGUAGCGAAGUUCCUGAUUCCACACUGCCAAGAAAAGCCUCUAGCGAGGUGAGAGGUGCCCGUACCGCAAACCGACACAGGUAGGCGAGGAGAGAAUCCUAAGGUGAUCGAGAGAACUCUCGUUAAGGAACUCGGCAAAGUGACCCCGUAACUUCGGGAGAAGGGGUGCUCUGUUAGGGUGCAAGCCCGAGAGAGCCGCAGUGAAUAGGCCCAGGCGACUGUUUAGCAAAAACACAGGUCUCUGCGAAGCCGUAAGGCGAAGUAUAGGGGCUGACGCCUGCCCGGUGCUGGAAGGUUAAGAGGAGCGCUUAGCGUAAGCGAAGGUGCGAAUUGAAGCCCCAGUAAACGGCGGCCGUAACAAUAACGGUCCUAAGGUAGCGAAAUUCCUUGUCGGGUAAGUUCCGACCCGCACGAAAGGCGCAACGAUCUGGGCACUGUCUCAACGAGAGACUCGGUGAAAUUAUAGUACCUGUGAAGAUGCAGGUUACCCGCGACAGGACGGAAAGACCCCGUGGAGCUUUACUGCAGCCUGAUAUUGAAUGUUGGUACAGCUUGUACAGGAUAGGUAGGAGCCUUGGAGACCGGAGCGCCAGCUUCGGUGGAGGCAUCGGUGGGAUACUACCCUGGCUGUAUUGACCUUCUAACCCGCCGCCCUUAUCGGGCGGGGAGACAGUGUCAGGUGGGCAGUUUGACUGGGGCGGUCGCCUCCUAAAAGGUAACGGAGGCGCCCAAAGGUUCCCUCAGAAUGGUUGGAAAUCAUUCGCAGAGUGUAAAGGCACAAGGGAGCUUGACUGCGAGACCUACAAGUCGAGCAGGGACGAAAGUCGGGCUUAGUGAUCCGGUGGUUCCGCAUGGAAGGGCCAUCGCUCAACGGAUAAAAGCUACCCCGGGGAUAACAGGCUUAUCUCCCCCAAGAGUCCACAUCGACGGGGAGGUUUGGCACCUCGAUGUCGGCUCAUCGCAUCCUGGGGCUGUAGUCGGUCCCAAGGGUUGGGCUGUUCGCCCAUUAAAGCGGUACGCGAGCUGGGUUCAGAACGUCGUGAGACAGUUCGGUCCCUAUCCGUCGCGGGCGCAGGAAAUUUGAGAGGAGCUGUCCUUAGUACGAGAGGACCGGGAUGGACGCACCGCUGGUGUACCAGUUGUUCUGCCAAGGGCAUCGCUGGGUAGCUAUGUGCGGACGGGAUAAGUGCUGAAAGCAUCUAAGCAUGAAGCCCCCCUCAAGAUGAGAUUUCCCAUUCCGCAAGGAAGUAAGAUCCCUGAAAGAUGAUCAGGUUGAUAGGUCUGAGGUGGUAGUGUGGCGACACAUGGAGCUGACAGAUACUAAUCGAUCGAGGACUUAACC